UGGCUCAGGACGAACGCUGGCGGCGCGCCUAACACAUGCAAGUCGAACGAGCGAGAGAGAGCUUGCUUUCUCGAGCGAGUGGCGAACGGGUGAGUAACGCGUGAGGAAUCUGCCUCAAAGAGGGGGACAACAGUUGGAAACGACUGCUAAUACCGCAUAAGCCCACGGUGCCGCAUGGCACAGAGGGAAAAGGAGUAAUCCGCUUUGAGAUGGCCUCGCGUCCGAUUAGCUAGUUGGUGAGGUAACGGCCCACCAAGGCGACGAUCGGUAGCCGGACUGAGAGGUUGAACGGCCACAUUGGGACUGAGACACGGCCCAGACUCCUACGGGAGGCAGCAGUGGGGAAUAUUGCACAAUGGGGGAAACCCUGAUGCAGCGACGCCGCGUGGAGGAAGAAGGUCUUCGGAUUGUAAACUCCUGUUGUUGGGGAAGAUAAUGACGGUACCCAACAAGGAAGUGACGGCUAACUACGUGCCAGCAGCCGCGGUAAAACGUAGGUCACAAGCGUUGUCCGGAAUUACUGGGUGUAAAGGGAGCGCAGGCGGGAAGACAAGUUGGAAGUGAAAUCUAUGGGCUCAACCCAUAAAUUGCUUUCAAAACUGCUGGCCUUGAGUAGUGCAGAGGUAGGUGGAAUUCCCGGUGUAGCGGUGGAAUGCGUAGAUAUCGGGAGGAACACCAGUGGCGAAGGCGACCUACUGGGCACCAACUGACGCUGAGGCUCGAAAGCACGGGUAGCAAACAGGAUUAGAUACCCUGGUAGUCCAUGCCGUAAACGAUGAUUACUAGGUGUUGGAGGAUUGACCCCUUCAGUGCCGCAGUUAACACAAUAAGUAAUCCACCUGGGGAGUACGACCGCAAGGUUGAAACUCAAAGGAAUUGACGGGGGCCCGCACAAGCAGUGGAGUAUGUGGUUUAAUUCGAAGCAACGCGAAGAACCUUACCUGAUCUUGACAUCCCGAUGACCGCUUCGUAAUGGAAGUUUUUCUUCGGAACAUCGGUGACAGGUGGUGCAUGGUUGUCGUCAGCUCGUGUCGUGAGAUGUUGGGUUAAGUCCCGCAACGAGCGCAACCCCUAUCUUCAGUAGCCAGCAGGUUAAGCUGGGCACUCUGGAGAGACUGCCGGGGAUAACCUGGAGGAAGGUGGGGAUGACGUCAAAUCAUCAUGCCCCUUAUGACUUGGGCUACACACGUGCUACAAUGGCGUAAACAAAGGGAAGCAAUCCCGCGAGGGGGAGCAAAUCUCAAAAAUAACGUCUCAGUUCGGACUGUAGUCUGCAACUCGACUACACGAAGCUGGAAUCGCUAGUAAUCGCGAAUCAGAAUGUCGCGGUGAAUACGUUCCCGGGUCUUGCACUCACCGCCCGUCA
rnacentral:rRNA from 1 species